rnacentral:tRNA from 1 species
GCGCCCGUAGCUCAACUGGAUAGAGCAUCAGACUACGGAUCUGGAGGUUGGGAGUUCGAAUCUCUCCGGGCGCGCCA